CCAUCCGCCGCCAGUACCGCGAGCUAGCUCCGCUGGAAGGUUGUGCGUUAUCGCGGCAAACGUGUGACAUUGGCUGGACCCAUCUUUUUCAGCGGUAAUUAGCGCAAUCAGUUCUCGAAAAUCUUCAGUACCAUAAUAAAGGCACAGCCGUUUAGUGGUUGCCGGUUGCGAAGAAGGUGUCGCCACAACGUCGGUACAAUUGUGCGCGUACGCAAACGGAUUUUCGUAGUCGGUGCGCGGCCGGCCGGCUGGUUUGUUUCGCGUGUCACGUUGUGCUGUCAUUUUUCGGUAGUUGUUUUCGGUGCUCGAAGAAAAUCAACCGGGACACGUGUCGGGGCUGCUGUCAACGAAUGUACAGAGAUAAGCCGAGAGCGUUCCACUCGAUUACCUUGGCUGGUUCCUUCGCCGUCGAUGUAAACUGCGCCGCGACGCGUCGCAACUCUAAGGAACACCGGAAGUGACAGGACGGACAGGGCGCAGCCGCGACCACCGAUGGCGGCCGCGAGCUUUCCACCGAACUUCUCGAACGUCGGCAUCCUGGAGAACUGGCUUUCCACGACUCUUCUCGAGGAAGAGGAUCAGAGGAAAGACGGGAGGUAAUGAGAGUUAGGAGAGCGAAAAGAGGGGCCGAGAGGACGAGCGAGCCGGCGAGGUGGCGCACGAGGACCGACCGACCUGCCGACCGUGUUCUGCCUCGAGAAACGCAAACUCCCCUCCCGUCUGUUGUCUCUUGUUUUCUUUUCAAGGAUGCAGGUACGAACCCUGGUCGCCGGGCCUGCUGAAGCGAGCAGCAGCCUGGCGCUGGACCACCAGGUGCGAGCAGGGACCACGGACCGACGGUGACCGGGACGCACGCACGAUGUAUUCUUUCCCGUGAGUCCCUAAUUACCGGAACCCUCUCCGAAAGCUAUCAGCCACAGCGCCGGCAUGGAGGCGGCGAACGGUGCGAUCGAGCACGACUUUCACAAUGCCUUGGUGCCUAUAAACGGUAGCCAUUCCGGGAGCUCCGGCAGGAGUACGCCGAAUGGAGGAGAUCCCGCGCCAGGAAAGCUGUUCGUAGGCGGCUUGUCCUGGCAGACCAGCAGCGAGAAGCUCAGGGAGUACUUCGGGAUGUUCGGGACCGUCACCGACGUCCUCAUCAUGAAGGAUCCGGUCACACAGGAUGGAAAGAGAAGGAAGAAGGGGGACGCUGACGAGAGCCACCUCGCGCCCCGAGAGCAUGCAACGAAUUCCCAAGAUUCCUGCGAGCGCGCCGAUGACGCUCGAUGUCGGCGAACGAAACGAAACGCGCGGAGCGGGAGAGAACCGGCGGCCGAGGCGAGCAACGAUUAGAGACGCGCGCGGACGCGGAAUCGUUGUCCUCUACUACUUCCGCCGGAGAUCUUCGGGUCGAUUUUCACGCGACGAUGCGCGUGUCGCGGUAGACGUUGCUCUUUCGGAGACAGUUCAUUCUUUGCCUCGAUGUUAUUAACACGUUGACUGCCAAGUGGACACGAGUAUUUAAAAUGUGCGUUCACGCGAAGCUAUUCUCAAGAUUGUUUGCAGUGUUAACACAUUGAACACCGGCUAAACUUCAGCUACUAAAAACGCGAGCGUCGGUGAUUAUAUCGAUACACUUUUAUACAGCGAUUAAACCAAAAUUUCUAACUUACGGAAGAGAAUAAGGAAUUUGACGUUGUGAAUUUUACUUUGGAUUUGUGUUAUGCAUAUCUGAAAUGAUGCAUGAACGUAGGAUUAGCAAUUAAACGAUAGACUAAAAUAUCGCGGGGCCGAUGUGCUAAGAUAUUAAUCAUUGAAGAAACAAAUCGAAACUGUUUUGACUAGUUCUAGUGUUAACCCUUUGAACUCUGUAGGCUCCAAUAUUGCAGCAAUUAUAAUAUUACAUAUUUUAAUGAAUCUUAACCCAUUGCUCUAUGAUUUACUUCUGAACCAUAAUCAAUACAGCUACUUUAUUGUUAAUAAUUAAUUAGGAAAAGACACAUAUUCAGUGCUAUUUCUAUGUAUAUAAUUAAUCCGAACGUUACUGAUUGAUAACAGAAAAGUAAUAUGUAAUUUAUAUUUUAGAAAAUGAAUAAGACUUAGAUCUUUUAAAUUCGGUUAAAAUUUUCGUCACGAGUCUGACACGAUAUUGUAGGUCAAGGGGUUAAAGAAACUACCCUAAGAUUCUUCGAUUUUCCACACAUCCAAAUUUUGCGCUAAGGAGGAAAAUAAAAGAUCGAAGAGAUAUAGCAUUUUUCAUUUUUGCUAGGGGUACUAUAAAAACUAGUUGCAGUUGCUGAUAGAUUACAAAACAGCCUGGAGUGCUAAGGGUUAACAAAGCAGAGUAAGAAGAGUAAGGAGUCAAGAUUCUUCGUAACGGUUAUCUUUCUUAUAUCGUACAUCCGAUAAUUCAUUUCGUUCGAUGCGUCAAAAUUAACGUUCAAGUUCAAAACAACAGUGUCACCGAAGCUCGAGUAACGUGGCAGUCAAAGUGUUAAAUAUUAAACUGCAGAUCUUAACCGGUUAACUGUGUUUGACGAGUGUACUAUUAAUGGUGCUAACUUUCUCAACGAUGGAUUAUUUAUUUUUCGAGACAAACAUGUAACGCUUCUUCGUUUCGCUUUAGCUUUUCGUGAGGAUAUAUUUUAACUGCAUUCGGCCUGCAUUUAACGAAUAUAUAUGAGAGAUUUUUCAAACUAAAUCCCACACUUAACUGGUUAAUAGAGAUACAAACUCUUCAUGCGGUAGAUCCUUCUCUAAAGAAACACCAUAAACAGCUCUAAAGUUCGGAUAUUACAGUUCUCCGUUCCUUCCUCGCAAGUCUGCACUUUCUAGUUUCCCACGAGAAACCCGCAGCCCGAUUAUUAGAUAUAAUAAACCUAGAUACACUCUCGGAGGUCGCAUUACCGCGAGAUUCUAGCGAUCAAUCCAGUAUCCGAGUGCAAAGUCUGCGCUAUCGCGUCACGAGUUUCCGCGGAAUGGAUUGCAGAGCUUCUGAAUUGCGUAUAAUGAGGCGAUUAUCUCGAUACGUGCAUCGUCGUGCGAGACCGGGCACGCCCAAUUUUUCCUGCCCGUCGAUCGACUGCGAUCUGGCCUAGUUCGAGCAACGGCGAGCCGAAGUAGCAACGCCGACCUACGUUCCGAGAUAUCGAUCGGCAACCACGAAAGUUCGCUCGGACGAACUUCGGCCGCUCGCUGUCCUCCUCGAGAACCGAUCGUCCCGAAGAGGAACGCCGACGAGGAAUCGUUCGUGAAUCGGCGACGCGUGGCCCAACGAACGACAGCUGAAGGGCAAUUCUGGCGUGCGCCUGUGUUUUCGAUUGUUCGCCAUGGUACGCCGAAUCUUGGAGGGAGGAAAUCGUUUUGCAAGGAGGAACGAGGACCAGGCGAACGAUCGGAAGAAGACAUUUCCUCGACGAAUUCCCGGCCGCGGCGGGCGUAUUUUGUUACGUGUAGCGUUCGGCGAUUAAUCGAGCAUUACCUCAGGUAUCAGGUGACCGUCGCUGGUGUCUUUCAACGAAAAAUCGAGAACAGCGUUUAACACGUUGAAUGCCGCGCGAUUUCAUAGUAUAAAAUACUUGAAACGAAAAGAAUAUGAUAGUAAAUCAUUUGAUUGAAUUUCAUUGUUACUAUUGCAGGUUCGUCUAGCUGAAUGUCACCACAUUGGUUAUCGUUAUUUAUAAUAUUGAAAUGUUUUCGAAUAAUCACGGUUUAAUUCAGUGAACUGUAGUAAUUCGAUUUGAGUCACCGGUGACCCCCAUAGCAUUCAACGUGUUAACGCUGAGCGAUCCUUGACACGUUGGCGAUCGCUUUGAGAUCGGCGAUGGACGGCGAAAGCAGUCGAGAUUUCGUUUCAUCGGAAUACAAUUAUAUUCUUUUGUUUGUAAUCCUAAUAUAACGGAUGGACAUUCAUAAUAAAAAUUCGUGCGAACGUUUCUUCCAUUUCCAAGAUAAUAGAAAUGAAAAUCAACAGUCCGAAGGAAGAUAGAUGAUAACGCAUUGAUCGCCGGCCGAUUUUUAGUCUAUCGUUUAAUUGCUAAUCCUACGUUCGUGUAACAUUUCAGAUAUGUAUAACACAAAUCCAAAGUAAAAUUCACAAAGUCAAAUUCCUUAUUCUCUUCCGUGAGUUAGAAAUUUUGGUUUGAUCGAUGUUUAAAAGUGUAUCGAUAUAAUCACCGACGCUCGCGUUCUUAGUAGCUGAAAUUUAGCCGGCGUUCAACGUGUUAAUUCGAUUCUACGAGCCGAUACACAGGCAGUAUAACGAAAAACGCUCGCCACUUGAUCCACGUGUCUCAUUGCAAUUGCUGUCAACCGAUUCGGCGAUCAGCGCGUCAACGCGUCGAAGAUUCCUCCGGUUGAGCCCGCGCGCGAUCAGCGUUCUUUCCUCCAUGUUCCACGGAGUACAAAGUCUGUACAUAUUGUAAGUGUCUCGUCACUAUCGUUACCGUUAAUGUACCUACGUGUAAGCAGCGUUACCAGUAGACUGCGGAUUUUGUGCAUUUAGCAGCGAGUAGAAGCGUCUAACAGCGAGAACAUAGACAGUUCCACGCGAUCUCCUUUUUCUAUCGUUCCCCGAGCACCGCGACGAGAAACAGGGAGUCCCCGAGCAAAACGGAGCGAACGUUUCUAGAAAAAUUCGCAGUUCGUCGAGACGCACUCGCGAGAUUUCUAAUUGUAGUCCAGCCUCUAGUCGCGUCGAGAGCCGCGCGCCUAGGAACAAGCCAGCCGCCGGCGGAGGUCAAGGGUGCGCCUCCUUUUCCGUGAUUCGCCAAUGGAAGCUCGGCCCGGGAAACCGGAAACCUGCGAUAUUAUCGCGUUCGGCGUGGAUUGCGAGGACCGAAGAGGGAGCAGCGGAUGAACCUCUUCUGGACGAAGGAGCUCGAUCAAAGGAGAAAGAGGAGAAAGAGGAAGGAUGCCGGACCUCUCCCAAGGAACCCGGAACCGGAAAUUAGCGGGUUUCUCGAUCGCCGAACACUCGUAUCGUUCCGCAACGAUUCCUCGGUACCACCCUCGUUCUUCUCGCCCCUAGCGAUAACCAGAAUUUUAAUUUAUUAUUCUUACCACCGUUAUUAUAUGCAUUCGAAUCUGUAAAGCAGUCUGUCUUGUGUCGCAACCCGAGCCCCGUCUUCCUUCCGCGUAGAAUCUGUCCCCGAUCUACGCUCGGGAAACCAGAUUUCCCGUCUAAAUAAAAACGACUCGAGAUAGGGAGACGCUACGCGGAGCGUUUAGCCCGGCGGCGUUCGGGGGUUCCGCGGUUGAUCCGUCUGCGGCUGAACGGACAGAGACGGAGAGAAGGGAAGAAAGGAAAUCGAUAUCGGGACCCCCCCAAGGGCACGCGUUAUGUACGCCCCUGUCGGGUAAAUUGCGGCCGCCCUGGGAAAAAAGCCAGCCCGGAAAUUUCGUCGUAUCGUUUCCCCGAUCCCGCCUCGAGAAAUAUUAGGAAGUAUCCCGUGGCGUGUGUCCGACCGCCGCAGCCGCGCUCUUACGGGGGGAAUUGAUUUUCCUCCCGUGUGCCGCACGGAACGAACGUCUGCCGUAAGUUCCUCUUCGGCUGGAGCUUUCCGAAAGCUGCCCCUCGGUUCUCCUCGAGGCGCAACGCCGUGCGCGUCGGGUAGCCUCUAAUAAUCGAACUGCCGGCAGUCAAAUUUUACCGUUUCCUCUGGAGACUUUGGGAAACACUUUAGAGAAUUUUCCGAGUUCGGGCUAACGGCGUUUACUUUUCUUGAAUUUGGAUUAACACUAUUCCCACCGCGCAACUUAUAUUUUCUAAUAUAGAAUGAAGAUAAUAAAUAAUAAGAAAAGGUGUGAAUAUUGAAAAAUGUUUUAUACAUAUUCUAGGAAAAGUCGUGAAGUAUAGAGGCGAUUCAAUUGCGUUGUCUAUAGGAAAUUCUAAUCGAAAUUUUAAAUACAGUCGUUUGACUGGUCGCGGUGGGAAUAGUGUUAAAUAUUAGUUUCGUGUUAUCGAUCGUUUACCUCUGGAACAAGCGGAGACGGAGGAAUUAACCGUUCGAGUGGCAAGCGUUCGAUGUACUAAAAGCAGCCUAUCGGUUAGAAUCAAAUGAAGUUUACUUAUUCGUCUUGCUAAUUAGUUACGCUUGUUAUUGACUGCUUAGAAAUAGAAUCACGCUGUUUCGAUUUGUUUGCGUGAAAACGGAAUAGAAACCGUGAAUAGAAAGCGAAGUCUCGUGCCACUCAGGCGGUCAACUUCCUUUUCCUAAUGAAUCAUUAACGAUGAAGUAGCUUCGUCGAGUUGAGUUUCGGAAGAAGUCAGGACAAGGGGUGAGAUCCACAGAACAACGUCAGAAUUCGAUUACCAGCCGAAGCGUUACAGCGAAAGAGCGUCUAACAUGUCGGAGCAAGCUACGUUAACGCCAAAUUUGCAAAUAUUUAUUCUACACAUUGUUCCAUCGCUCCUAGAAGACUACAUAUUCGUUCCUAUAGCUCGCAGAAUUUAGAUUUUCAAAAUUAGAGAAUCACAAUGCAUAUUCGUGUAAUUUCACCAAUGAAAAUCGACUCGAAUCGUUACGAGAUAAUGUCUGAACUAUCUUAACCCAUUCGCUGCCAAGACGAGUAUACUCGUCCUACUUUCAAUAUGUUACAUACACGCUUCUGAAUCAGCAAAUUUCGAGUCCCGUUGCCUUCCCAUUGCCAACGACCAGUACACUCGUCUUUGAUUUUACGCGUGUAAAUGAUUAUGUGCGAUAAUACAUGUGCUUUCACCAAGAAAUAACAGAACUUCGGUAAACAAUACCA